UCGCCAAUGAUGAUAUCAUAAAUCAAAUUACCAUCUUUCGGGACUGAAUGGCUUAAUCAGCCUUGCUGUUAUUCUGCAAUUCUGAGGCGU